GCAGACACAUUCCAGACAAUCAGCAGCAGACCCUCCCUCCCAGACCCUCCCACCUCCUGGACAGCAUCCAUUUUACAUUCAUUGUGAAGCUGCAUUCUUAGUGAGCUGUCCAGGAGGUGGGAGGGUCUGGGAGGGAGGGUCUGCUGCUGAUUGGCUGGAAUGUGUCUG
rnacentral:miRNA from 1 species